UACGGAGGGUGCAAGCGUUAAUCGGAAUUACUGGGCGUAAAGCGCGCGUAGGUGGUCUGUUAAGUCGGAUGUGAAAGCCCCGGGCUCAACCUGGGAACUGCAUCCGAUACUGGCAGACUAGAGUGCGGGAGAGGGAGGUAGAAUUCCACGUGUAGCGGUGAAAUGCGUAGAUAUGUGGAGGAAUACCAGUGGCGAAGGCGGCCUCCUGGCUCGACACUGACACUGAGGUGCGAAAGCGUGGGGAGCAAACAGG
rnacentral:rRNA from 1 species